UAUGCUUUCAAUCAGUUGUUGAAAAUGGAACGAUUAAGAUUACGGGAUGGCAUCCAUCACCAACCAGGCUAGCGUAUCCUUUCGAUCUCCCUAUUGGAUUAUUAAAGUUGUGAAUAAAAUGGUUGUGAAUGGCUAGGUCGGUUGCCGGCAAGAUAUGGCGCAUCCCGCAAAUGGCUUGGAAAGCUAUCGAAAUCUUAACACAGCAAUAUGACUUGGCCAAUAGAACCGGGUAAUGGAAAUCGCAGAUGCAUGAUGGUGCAUAGAUGCUGCAUGAUGGUGCGGCGUUCUUCCGGAAUACGGCCUAACUAAAAAUAGACAACUCACAGAUGCCACCAUGGAAGACGUUCAACUUCAUUGAUGGAAAGGAGAAACAAACCCAUGGAAAAAUAAAUCUAAUGUGGUGUGAUGUGUCCUGACGCCUGUCAGAGUAAUGUAUCCUGGAAAGAAUGUAGAACUUUCUCCAUAAUCCGCAGUAGUUAUGGUUAACAGUGCCGGUUAUUGGACGCUACAGAAGUUCUGCUGUUCAACUGGUGGGGGUCCAUACGAAGCUCAACAGAAUGAGAUGGGUUUCAAAAAUGAAUGCUCUCCAUUUUACUGCCGACAAUCGGAAAAUUCUUUCCAUAAAAAUAUGUUGUACAACAGAUAAUUCUCUCUCUAUGGACGCUAUGGACAAUUCACAGCCCAUCGGGUGUUCGCAUUUUCAAAAACUGAAAAAUAUCAACUACAA